UACGAAGGUCCCAAGCGUUGUUCGGAAUCACUGGGCGUAAAGGGUGCGUAGGCGGCGCGGUAAGUCAGAUGUGAAAUCCCGGGGCUCAACCCCGGAACUGCAUCCGAUACUGCCGUGCUCGAGGAUUGGAGAGGUAGCUGGAAUUCUUGGUGUAGCAGUGAAAUGCGUGGAUAUCAAGAGGAACACUCGUGGCGAAAGCGAGCUACUGGACAACUCCUGACGCUGAGGCUCGAAGGCCAGGGGAGCGAAAGGG
rnacentral:rRNA from 1 species